rnacentral:rRNA from 1 species
UACGGAGGGUGCAAGCGUUGUCCGGAUUUAUUGGGUUUAAAGGGUGCGUAGGUGGCCGUUUAAGUCAGCUUUGAAAGCUGGUCGCUCAACGAUCAGGGGUGGGUUGAUACUGGACGGCUUGGAUCAGGUGGCGGUUUCUGGAACGGGUCGUGUAGCGGUGAAAUGCAUAGAUAUCGGAAGGAACAUCAGUGGCGAAGGCGACUUCCUGGAUUAAUACUGACACUGAGGAGCGAAAGCGUGGGGAGCGAACAGG